rnacentral:rRNA from 1 species
UACCGAGGGUGCGAGCGUUAAUCGGAAUUACUGGGCGUAAAGCGCGCGUAGGCGGCUUUGCAAGUCGGGUGUGAAAUCCCCAGGCUUAACCUGGGAACUGCAUUCGAGACUGCAUUGCUAGAGUAUGGGAGAGGGAAGUGGAAUUUCCGGUGUAGCGGUGAAAUGCGUAGAUAUCGGAAGGAACAUCAGUGGCGAAAGCGACUUCCUGGACCAAUACUGACGCUCAUGUGCGAAAGCGUGGGGAGCAAACAGG